rnacentral:rRNA from 1 species
AUGUUGGCUCAAGGGAUCAUUCAGAUCAGCCGCAGUCCGUUCUCGUCGCCGGUGUUGUUAGUGCAGAAGAAGGAUGGAGAAUGGCGUUUUUGUAUUGAUUUCCGGCACUUGAAUGCAAUCACAGUGAAGAAUUGCUAUCCCCUGCCGGUGAUCGACGAGUUGUUAGAUGAGCUGCAUGGAUCAAAAUGGUUCACUAGUUUGGACCUACGGUCAGGGUACCAUCAAAUUCGGAUGAGACCUUCGGAUGAAGCAAAAACUGCCUUCCAAACCCACCAUGGUCACUUUGAGUUCAAGGUCAUGCCGUAUGGAGUGACCGGUGGUCCGGCAACGUUUCAGACCGGGAUG